GGGGACGAUUUUGGUUUCGACUGUAAUGACGAUGGUAUGGUUGCAUGCCGAGUGUGCUGUCAACUCGUUAAAAAUGGCAGACCUAACGUAAGUGCAGACAAUAAUCUAGCACUGGCAGCUUAGUAACCUGCCACGCCUUCAGACUGCCUGCUCCUCUGGGGUGAUUGAAGGCGUCAUAUACAGGGGAUAGCCCAAUUUCACGUUCUCGGGAUGAGGGCGAAACAACAGGGAACUCGAAUGUUUCUAACGGUGCCUGUUCCCGGUGGGACAUUUUAAAAACAAACGAACAGGACAAGCAUGUAGAUGCCGUAUGGUCGUGUUGCAGGACGCGGGUUCGACUCCCGCCGUCUCCACAU
rnacentral:tmRNA from 1 species